rnacentral:rRNA from 1 species
AGUCGAGCGGAACGAGUUAUCUGAACCUUCGGGGAACGAUAACGGCGUCGAGCGGCGGACGGGUGAGUAAUGCCUAGGAAAUUGCCCUGAUGUGGGGGAUAACCAUUGGAAACGAUGGCUAAUACCGCAUGAUGCCUACGGGCCAAAGAGGGGGACCUUCGGGCCUCUCGCGUCAGGAUAUGCCUAGGUGGGAUUAGCUAGUUGGUGAGGUAAGGGCUCACCAAGGCGACGAUCCCUAGCUGGUCUGAGAGGAUGAUCAGCCACACUGGAACUGAGACACGGUCCAGACUCCUACGGGAGGCAGCAGUGGGGAAUAUUGCACAAUGGGCGCAAGCCUGAUGCAGCCAUGCCGCGUGUGUGAAGAAGGCCUUCGGGUUGUAAAGCACUUUCAGUCGUGAGGAAGGUGGUAGUGUUAAUAGCACUAUCAUUUGACGUUAGCGACAGAAGAAGCACCGGCUAACUCCGUGCCAGCAGC